GCGAGGCCCACUCCGACGGUGACGUGUUACUUCACUGUGUGGUGGAUGCGAUUUUGGGGGCCUUGGGGCUUCCUGAUAUCGGACAGAUAUUUCCGGAUACUAAUCCGAAGUGGAAGGGGGCGGAUUCGUCGGUUUUCAUGAAGGAGGCUGUAAGACUUAUGCAUGAUGCAGGUUAUGAGCUCGGUAACCUAGACGCGACGUUGAUCCUCCAGAAGCCAAAGCUUAGCCCACACAAGGAGGCCAUCAGGGCAAACCUUUGUGAUCUGCUUGGUGCAGACCCAUCCGUCGUAAAUCUCAAAGCGAAGACUCAUGAGAAGGUUGACAGUCUCGGAGAGAAUCGAAGUAUCGCUGCUCAUACUGUUGUUCUUCUGAUGAGGAAGUGAGUCGAACCAAAUUUACUUGUUAAG
rnacentral:misc_RNA from 1 species